UACAGAGGUGGCAAGCGUUGUUCGGAAUUACUGGGCGUAAAGGGCGCGUAGGCGGUCUUGUAAGUCCUGUGUGAAAUCCCUCGGCUCAACUGAGGAACUGCACGGGAUACUGCGAGACUUGAGUUCGGGAGAGGGAAGCGGAAUUCCGGGUGUAGCGGUGAAAUGCGUAGAUAUCCGGAGGAACACCGGUGGCGAAGGCGGCUUGCCAGAACGCACUCGACGGUGAGGGAUGAAAGCUGGGGGAGCAAACCGG
rnacentral:rRNA from 1 species